rnacentral:rRNA from 1 species
UCGAUGAAGAACGCAGCGAAAUGCGAUAAGUAAUGUGAAUUGCAGAAUUCAGUGAAUCAUCGAAUCUUUGAACGCACCUUGCGCCCCUUGGUAUUCCGAGGGGCAUGCCUGUUUGAGUGUCAUUAAAUUCUCAACCUUACUAGCUUUUGCUAUGUAAUGGCUUGGAUAUGGGGGUCUUUUGCUGGUUUCGAAAGGAAUCUGCUCCCCCUUAAAUGCAUUAGCCGGUGCCCCCGCGUGGACCGUCUAUUGGUGUGAUAAUUAUCUACGCCGUUAGACGUCUGCUUUAAAUGGGUUGUGCUGCUUCUAAUCGUCCUCUUAGGACAAUUAUUGACCAUUUGACCUCAAAUCAGGUAGGACUACCCGCUGAACUUAA